rnacentral:lncRNA from 1 species
AGACAGACACCGCCUUGAGAUUAGUGGUCCCUUGCUAAUAAAGGAACAUUUGUUUUUUUUUUUUUUUUUUUGUGAUAAGAGCUCUGGACAGACUCUUCUGUAAGCUGGAAUUUCAUGCCCUUUUGCUGUAUGAUAACAUUUAUGCACAUGUGCUGUACUAAACAAGUUUGGUCAUACAGUCUGAAAUUUUGCCCAGGGGGGCUAUAUAAAAAUAAACCGUGAGCUUGCUUGCUUGCAUAGUUAUUAUUUUCCAUCUGGCCAGUGUGUGUCUGUCUCUUGUAUGUGUGUCUUGUUGUUUUAUGUCAUUUCACUCUUAAUCUCCAGAAUCUCCUACAUCUGGCGCCCAACUUGGGGCUCGAGUGAAACCGAAAGGGCUUUAACUAUGCUAUCUACUGAUAAUGAGACUAAAUCUAAUGCUUCAAUGAAGGAAGAGGCAAUUUAUGAAGAUGUGCCAAACGUUGGUGGGGUUUCUGCAUUGCCUGAAGGUAAGGAUACAAGUAAGCCUCCUUCUAGAAAUGAUAAAACAUCUGAUAGUUCAAAAUCAGAUUCAGAAGCUUCUUCAGUUUCGUCAGAGGAGGAUAAAGAGAUUAAAGAAAUGACCCAUCUAUUUCAGGAAUGGUAGAGAUCCUGUAGGGAGGAGAAGAGCUAAUCGUACCUUGCAUGAAUAUCUUGAAAAAAUAAAAAAAGGGGGAACAGGAGAGAUUUAUGAAACCUAAAGACAUUUUGAAUAAAACCUUACUUACCCUAAAUUUUUUGAAUAUUUGGAGCAAAGGAAAUCUAUCAGCAGCAGAGUUGCAUUUUCAAGGAAAAAAGAAGACAAGAAGAUCUUGAAUACGCCUAUUUGGUAUAAAGAUAAAGAAAAAGGUUCGAUCCCAGCAUCAUUAAUAUAUCUGGGAUGAGGAUAUGCUUUCAUUUCUGUUAAUAAUUACAGGUUUUGGAC